UAUUAAUUGCAGGAGAAUCGUAGAUGUGGA
rnacentral:piRNA from 1 species